rnacentral:rRNA from 1 species
CCUACGGGAGGCAGCAGUGGGGGAUAUUGCACAAUGGGGGAACCCCUGAUGCAGCGACGCCGCGUGGGUGAAGACGCGCCUCGGCGCGUACAGCCCUGUCAGCAGGGAAGAAAAUGCCGGUACCUGAAGAAGAAGCCCCGGCUAACUACGUGCCAGCAGCCGCAGUAAUGCGUAGGGGGCACGCGUGAUCCGGAUUUACUGGGUGUAACGGGGGCGCAGACGGGGAUGCAAGCCAGGAGUGAAAGCCCGGGGCCCAACCCCGGGACUGAUCUUGGAACUGCGUGGCUAGAGUGCAGGAGGGGCAGGCGGAAUUCCUGGUGUAGCGGUGAAAUGCGUAGAUAGCAGGAGGAACACCGGUGGCGAAGGCGGCCUGCGGGACUGCAACUGACGUUGAGGCCCGAAAGCGUGGGGAGCAAACAGGAGUAGAUACCCCAGUAGUC